rnacentral:rRNA from 1 species
CCGGCGCACGGGUGAGUAACACGUAUCCAACCUGCCGUCUACUCUUGGACAGCCGUUCUGAAAGGAAGAUUAAUACAAGAUGGCAUCAUGAGUCCGCAUGUUCACAUGAUUAAAGGUAUUCCGGUAGACGAUGGGGAUGCGUUCCAUUAGAUAGUAGGCGGGGUAACGGCCCACCUAGUCUUCGAUGGAUAGGGGUUCUGAGAGGAACGGUCCCCCACAUUGGAACUGAGACACGGUCCAAACUCCUACGGAAGGCAGCAG